UCCCCCCGCUGCGUCCUUCCAGCUCCAGCCGUCCUUGAGGUCUGGGCAAGGAGAAAGCGCCCCAAUGACUGACCGCAAAUUUUCCUCCAUCUCUUUCUCCCUCUCCCUCAGCUCCCUUCGCCACUUGAGAUCCCACACCCACCCUUCCUCCGUCCAUUUCCCAGCCUCCUCCACAUUACCAUCUUUAAAGAGGCUAAGAUUAAAAAGUCUAGGGAAG
rnacentral:lncRNA from 1 species